GUGGGGAAUCUUCCACAAUGGACGAAAGUCUGAUGGAGCAACGCCGCGUGAGUGAAGAAGGGUUUCGGCUCGUAAAGCUCUGUUGUCGGGGACGAAUGUGCAGUAUUUGAAUAAAGUACUGCAAUGACGGUACCUGAUGAGGAAGCCACGGCUAACUACGUGCCAGCAGCCGCGGUAAUACGUAGGUGGCAAGCGUUGUCCGGAAUUAUUGGGCGUAAAGGGAGCGCAGGCGGGAAGGUAAGUCGGUCUUAAAAGUGCGGGGCUCAACCCCGUGAUGGGAUCGAAACUAUCUUUCUUGAGUGCAGGAGAGGAAAGUGGAAUUCCUAGUGUAGCGGUGAAAUGCGUAGAUAUUAGGAGGAACACCAGUGGCGAAGGCGACUUUCUGGACUGUAACUGACGCUGAGGCUCGAAAGCCAGGGGAGCGAACGGGAUUAGAUACCCCGGUAGUCC
rnacentral:rRNA from 1 species